rnacentral:rRNA from 1 species
GAUGAACGCUGACAGAAUGCUUAACACAUGCAAGUCCACUUGAAUUUGGGUUUUUUAACUUCGAUUUGGGUGGCGGACGGGUGAGUAACGCGUAAAGAACUUGCCUCACAGCUAGGGACAACAUUUGGAAACGAAUGCUAAUACCUGAUAUUAUGAUUAUAAGGCAUCUUAGAAUUAUGAAAGCUAUAUGCGCUGUGAGAGAGCUUUGCGUCCCAUUAGCUAGUUGGAGAGGUAACGGCUCACCAAGGCGAUGAUGGGUAGCCGGCCUGAGAGGGUGAACGGCCACAAGGGGACUGAGACACGGCCCUUACUCCGACGGGAGGCAGCAGUGGGGAAUAUUGGACAAUGGACCAAGAGUCUGAUCCAGCAAUUCUAUGUGCACGAUGACGUUUUUCGGAAUGUAAAGUGCUUUCAGUUGGGAAGAAAAAAAUGACGGUACCAACAGAAGAAGUGACGGCUAAAUACGUG